UGAGGAAUUUUGCGCAAUGGGAGCAAUCCUGACGCAGCAACGCCGCGUGGGUGAAGAAGGCCUUCGGGUCGUAAAGCCCUGUCAGGUGGGAAGAAGGGUCCUAUCAGGAAAGGGGUGGGAUUUGACGGUACCACCAGAGGAAGCACCGGCUAACUCCGUGCCAGCAGCCGCGGUAAUACGGAGGGUGCGAGCGUUAUUCGGAAUUACUGGGCGUAAAGCGCGUGUAGGCGGGGGAGCAAGUCUGAUGUGAAAGCCCCGGGCUUAACCGGGGGAGUGCAUUGGGAAGUGGGUGUCUUGAGUAGGGGAGAGGAAGGGGGAAUUCCCAGUGUAGAGGUGAAAUUCGUAGAGAUCGGGAGGAAGACCAGUGGCGAGGGCGCGCUUGUGGACGGUUACUGACGCUGAGACGCGAGAGCGUGGGGAGCAAACAG
rnacentral:rRNA from 1 species